UCGCUAGUAAUCGCGAAUCAGAAUGUCGCGGUGAAUACGUUCCCGGGUCUUGUACACACCGCCCGUCACACCAUGAGAGUUGGGAAUACCCGAAGCCUGUGAGCUAACUUAUAGAGGCAGCAGUCGAAGGUAGAAUCAAUGAUUGGGGUGAAGUCGUAACAAGGUAGC
rnacentral:rRNA from 1 species